UUUAACUUUGCCUUUCAAUGAUCCCCAGUUACUUUCUUCUUUUUCCUUUUUAGGAUUUUUUUUUUAAUUUUAAGUUUGCAUAUGUAGGUGCCCGUGAGUGGAAGUGCCGGAGGAGGUGAACAGGGCGUGUGGGAUCCCCUGAAGUUGGAGUCACAGGCUGUUGUGAGCUGUGUGAUAUGGGUAUUGGAGAACUGAACUUGAUUCCUCUGCAAGAGGAUGCAUUCUUGAAGGCUGAGCGGUCUCUCCGGCCUGAAGCACUUACUUUUUAAAAGACCCACUUUAUUUUCUGUCUGAGCUCAUGGUCAUUUGCAUGGUAGCCAAGGCCAGAUAAUCUUGAUCGAUUGUGUGUCUCCGGUUUUCCAAAGCUUUUUUUCCCCCCUUCUGCUGUUAGAAUCAGGGUGUUGGGCCAGAGGAGGGAGAAAGAAGCCUUAAAUCACCGAACUGUGGUGCACCCUGUACGCGCUCGCUCAGCACGAACUGAGGAGAGAGGACUUCUAGGCUCCUUUGGGCUGGAACGGGAUUGGCAGUGAGUGAUGCAGAUUGAGCCACGGGUUGAAGUCAUUUUCUACUUCAGCCCUGCUCGGUCUGUGGGGAACGGUAGAGUCAGGAGUUAGCUGCAGGGUUUUGGGAGCAGGCCAGCAUCUACAUCUGUUCCCAACUGUAAGUGGACUGGAAAAACACUUUGAGGGAAAGCCAGCAAAGAGCGCACACGAUCUCUACUCCCAGAAAGGCCAGGAAAGAGGAGCUGACCCGUCAUAAAGAAGCUGAACUUAGAGGCAAGCCUUUAUGCAAAUAAAGCAGGGAUGAUUCUUCUUCUGUUUGUCAAGAGUCAAUCUCCUUUCUGACAAUGUAAGGGUCGGAAUCGAUAGUACAGGACAGCCAUGUUGACAGUCGGGGUCCUGGUGCCCAAGUUAGGAGCUUCUCUAUCAGCGAGAUGUCAUGGCUAGCACGAGCUGGAGCAAGCGUUACUUAAAGGAAGCAGUUUGGCAACACACGGGCCUGGGUUCAAAUUCCAGCUCCGUCACUUCCUGGCUGUCUGAAGUCAGGCAAGCUGCCCUCUGACUGCCAGUGGCUUCACCUGGGAUGGGGAUCGUGAGGAUCUCUCACUGGAUCAGGAUCUUGCUGUUUCUGCUAGACUGUAAGCUUCCACCUAUCUUUGACCUGAAGCUUUGCAGUUACGGAUGCACACCGUCACACCUGGCUUCCUCUGUGGGUGCUGGGAAUCUCCGCUUGGCUCCUUAUGUCUUGUGCAGCAAGUGCUCUACUGAGCCAUCUCCCCAGCCCCAUCACAGGCAAGCUCUUAGAAGCAACAUUGUCACAUCAGAGGUCACAAUGACUAGCUUCUACCUUUAAACUUGUGAUUCAAUGCCAAACAAUUUUCCAGAAAGCAAAUACAGAUUUAUAUCCUUGCCAAUAGUGUAACGUAGAACAAAUGUCUCUUGCCAGCAUGGGAAAUUCUCUUUUCAAAUCUCUGCCAAUAUGAAACGUGAAGACUGAGAGUGUCGGAUCAUUUAUUGUCGACCACCACAGCUACCGUCCCUUAGUUCCAGAGGUCCGUGAACAUGAAGCCGUGUUUGUAUCUGUGUAAAGACAGCUCAAGCCCCCCACUCUUGCUAUCACAGCUGUAAGCCAUUCCUGAUGAGGUAGGUGCCUUCCCCAAGAGCAACGAUACCCUGUGAGACAAGAGAAGUCUUUCCUUCUUAAAAGAAAGACAGAUUGAGCUCUUUUAAAAAUUGUAAUCUGGGGCUGGAGAGAUGGCUCAGUGGUUAAGAGCCCUGACUGCUCUUCCAAAGGUCCUGAGUUCAAUUCCCAGCAACCACAUGGUGGCUCACAACCAUCCAUAAUGAGAUCCAAUGCCCUCUUCUGGUGUGUCUGAAGACAGCUACAGUGUACUUGUAUUAAAUAGUAAAUAGAUCUUUUUUUAAAAAUUGUAAUCUUAAAAACAAAACAACAAAACAAACACACACACACACAACAACAAAGAGCUGGCAGUGGUGGAGUCCAGGCCUUUAAUCCCAGCACUCAGGCAGAGUCAGGCAGAUCUCUGAGGCCAGCCUAACCAACAGAGAAAGAUCCAGGGCAGCCAGAGAGAAUCCUGUCUCGAAAAAACAAAUAAAAGGACAACAAAAAAUUGCAACUUCUUCUUCUUCUUCUUCUUCUU